rnacentral:tRNA from 1 species
GCCUCUGUAGCUUAGUAGGUAGAGCGUGCGAGCACAUGGCAGCCUGCUACGCUGAUGCUGGUCUGCCUGGCCACGGAGCUGUUAACCUGCAAGUCAGCUUGGGAGUUAGAAACCGCAAGGUCGCCAGUUCGAGUCUGGCCAGAGGCG